GACGAACGCUGGCGGCGUGCUUAACACAUGCAAGUCGAACGGAAAGGCCCUGCUUUUGUGGGGUGCUCGAGUGGCGAACGGGUGAGUAACACGUGAGUAACCUGCCCUUGACUUUGGGAUAACUUCAGGAAACUGGGGCUAAUACCGGAUAGGAGCUCCUGCUGCAUGGUGGGGGUUGGAAAGUUUCGGCGGUUGGGGAUGGACUCGCGGCUUAUCAGCUUGUUGGUGGGGUAGUGGCUUACCAAGGCUUUGACGGGUAGCCGGCCUGAGAGGGUGACCGGCCACAUUGGGACUAAGAUACGGCCCAGACUCCUACAGGAGGCAGCAGUGGGGAAUAUUGCACAAUGGGCGGAAGCCUGAUGCAGCAACGCCGCGUGCGGGAUGACGGCCUUCGGGUUGUAAACCGAUUUCGCCUGUGACGAAGCGUGAGUGACGGUAAUGGGUAAAGAAGCACCGGCUAACUACGUG
rnacentral:rRNA from 1 species